GUCCCGUUGGUCUAGCGGUAUCAUUGCAACUUGUAGUGGUCUUUAUAUCCAUUGUUGCGGGUCGCCAGUUCGAAUCUGGCACGGGGCA